GAGAUCCCCUCUGUGGCGCACCUCGCAGCGACCCUUUGGAAUGUCACGCAGUAGCCUAGGUCACAGAGACCGCUGAAUCUGUGUCAAAAGUCCCACGCUUACGUGCGAGUAGAUUAAUUGCAGGAUAACAGACUAUGCUCGUUUAAAUGCCAUUCAGUUAUUACACCUACUUCCGGUGGAAUAUCCUAUCGACACAAAUGUGCCACAUCGAUGGACAUACCUACAGAGAAUUGUCAUUUAAGCGUGUUAUUCUGGAAUGCAACGAGAUUUGCUUUGACGCACCUUUACUUCCUCCCACGCACCGUCUGGCAGGUGAUAAACUUGCAGACACUAAUCAGGACCUUGACCUGAAAGCCUAGGCCUUAUCAUGAUAAGAGUUACACAGAAUACUGAAAUUUCAACCUGUCAAUCAAAAUGUCUGGAAUGACUUCUGCGUGGGACGUGCGUGACUGCUUUUUAUGGUGGUUCAAAGGAGGCCAAAGGGCUGCUCUUCUAGCCAACCAAAGGGAACAUUAAGGUAAAGAAUGCAAAUAAAUAAGUAAAGAAAGAACCUCCUGAGGCCGUUUCUCACUGCUCUGUGGCUCUGAGAGGUUCCAGGAAAACCUGCGGUGAGCGAGCGGAUCACAGGCCUAAAGAGAGAGCCAUGACCUCACCCUAGUCAAGGGUCUGGCGGCGUGGGAACAAUGGCUGCUCUAUGUGCAGCCGUCCGUCCCCCUCCGUAAAGGCCCGGAGGGAGGCCGCUGGGGUGAGAUGGCGUAGCACUGGUCCGAUGCCUGAGUCACUUCCUCCAGCACAUUCCUCCUGCUUUAGCCAGUGUCGGAUUAAACGGGCAGGUGACAUCAGAGGUCCAGUAGCCCACAUAACACCACAGUGGAGCGUUUAAAAUCAAAUAAAGAAAAUAAAAACAGCACCAAACUGUUUUACUGACUCAAAUAUCUUCUGGAAAUGUGCGUGGAUAUUGAAUCUUGUUUGUCAUGGACUGUUGUCUCUGAAAGGUCACAGCAAGCUUAAAAGGGGCCUACAGCAGGUGCAUUGAAGUGACAUUUUGUGAAGCCUUUUAACACAACCACAACAAAUGGUUUUAUAAUGGAGUUUGAUAGGGAGUUAGGGAUA